AACUUUUGGCAACGGAUCUCUUGGCUCUUGCAUCGAUGAAGAACGCAGCGAAAUGCGAUAAGUAAUGUGAAUUGCAGAAUUCAGUGAAUCAUCGAAUCUUUGAACGCACCUUGCGCUCCUUGGUAUUCCGAGGAGCAUGCCUGUUUGAGUGUCAUUAAUAUAUAUAUAUCAAACUUCUCUUUGUUGAGUGGUUUUGGAUGUGGGGGUUUUUGCUGGGCCUCUUAAAGGGUUCAGCUCCCCUGAAAUGCAUUAGCAGAACAACCCUGUUCAUUGGUGUGAUAACUAUCUACGCUAUUGAAUGUGAGGGGCAAGUUCAGCUUUCUAACAGUCCUUGGACAAUUCUUCAUUAAUGUGACCUCAAAUCAGGUAGGACUACCCGCUGAACUUAAGCAUAUCAAUAAGCGGAGGCU
rnacentral:misc_RNA from 1 species